UACGAAGGGGGCGAGCGUUGUUCGGAUUUACUGGGCGUAAAGGGCGCGCAGGCGGCCACUCAAGUCAGGCGUGAAAGCCCCGGGCUUAACCUGGGAACUGCGUCUGGGACUGAGAGGCUAGAGAUCGGGAGAGGAGAGUGGAAUUCCCAGUGUAGAGGUGAAAUUCGUAGAUAUUGGGAAGAACACCGGUGGCGAAGGCGGCUAUCUGGCCCGUAAUUGACGCUGAGGCGCGAAAGCGUGGGGAGCAAACAGG
rnacentral:rRNA from 1 species